rnacentral:misc_RNA from 1 species
AUGCAGCCAAGUGACCAGAUAUCGAUCUUCUUAUCAUAUGGAAGUCCCAAAAUAACUUCAGGUGCGCGGUAGGAUCUAGAUUGGACAUAAGAACAAAGAUGAUCGGUUUCGAAACAACUGCUUCCUAGAUCAAUCACCUUCACUUCACAUCUACUGUAGCUUUUCACCAAUAUGUUCUCAGGUUUCAAGUCACAAUGUAUAAGCCCAAGGCCAUGCAAAAACUGAAGAGCCUCCAAACAUUGUAUAGUGAUUGACUGCAGUCUUGGCAUGGUAAAGUAGACUUCUCCUCCAGAUUCUCUAUUAAAUUUAUGGAACUCGUAAAGAUUUGCUUUAAGGAGCUCACAUACAAUUAACAAAUGUUCUCGAUAAUAGAAGUAAUCAUA